CUACGGGGCGCUGCAGUGAGGAAUAUUGGUCAAUGGGCGCAAGCCUGAACCAGCCAUGCCGCGUGCAGGAAGAAGCAUCUAUGGUGUGUAAACUGCUUUUAUACAGGAAGAAACAACUCUACGUGUAGAGUCUUGACGGUACUGUAGGAAUAAGGAUCGGCUAACUCCGUGCCAGCAGCCGCGGUAAUACGGAGGAUCCAAGCGUUAUCCGGAAUCAUUGGGUCUAAAGGGUCCGUAGGCGGCCUUAUAAGUCAGUGGUGAAAUCUCCUAGCUCAACUAGGAAACUGCCAUUGAUACUGUAAGGCUUGAAUUUUUGUGAAGUAACUAGAAUAUGUAGUGUAGCGGUGAAAUGCUUAGAUAUUACAUGGAAUACCAAUUGCGAAGGCAGGUUACUAACAAACGAUUGACGCUGAUGGACGAAAGCGUGGGGAGCGAACAGGAUUAGAUACCCUGGUAGUC
rnacentral:rRNA from 1 species